rnacentral:rRNA from 1 species
GACGAACGCUGGCGGCGUGCCUAAUACAUGCAAGUUGAGCGAUGAAGAUUGGUGCUUGCACCAAUUUGAAGAGCAGCGAACGGGUGAGUAACGCGUGGGGAAUCUGCCUUUGAGCGGGGGACAACAUUUGGAAACGAAUGCUAAUACCGCAUAACAACUUUAAACAUAAGUUUUAAGUUUGAAAGAUGCAAUUGCAUCACUCAAAGAUGAUCCCGCGUUGUAUUAGCUAGUUGGUGAGGUAAAGGCUCACCAAGGCGAUGAUACAUAGCCGACCUGAGAGGGUGAUCGGCCACAUUGGGACUGAGACACGGCCCAAACUCCUACGGGAGGCAGCAGUAGGGAAUCUUCGGCAAUGGACGAAAGUCUGACCGUGCAACGCCGCGUGAGUGAAGAAGGUUUUCGGAUCGUAAAACUCUGUUGGUAGAGAAGAACGUUGGUGAGAGUGGAAAGCUCAUCAAGUGACGGUAACUACCCAGAAAGGGACGGCUAACUACGU